rnacentral:rRNA from 1 species
UACGAAGGGGGCUAGCGUUGCUCGGAAUCACUGGGCGUAAAGGGCGCGUAGGCGGGUCUUUAAGUCAGGGGUGAAAUCCUGGAGCUCAACUCCAGAACUGCCUUUGAUACUGAAGAUCUUGAGUUCGGGAGAGGUGAGUGGAACUGCGAGUGUAGAGGUGAAAUUCGUAGAUAUUCGCAAGAACACCAGUGGCGAAGGCGGCUCACUGGCCCGAUACUGACGCUGAGGCACGAAAGCGUGGGGAGCAAACAGG